rnacentral:rRNA from 1 species
UACGUAGGGUGCGAGCGUUAAUCGGAAUUACUGGGCGUAAAGCGUGCGUAGGCGGUUCGUUAAGUGCGUCGUGAAAGCCCCGGGCUCAACCUGGGAAUGGCGAUGGAAACUGGCGGGCUGGAGUAUGGCAGAGGGGGGUGGAAUUCCGCGUGUAGCAGUGAAAUGCGUAGAGAUGCGGAGGAACACCGAUGGCGAAGGCAGCCCCCUGGGCCAAUACUGACGCUCAGGCACGAAAGCGUGGGGAGCAAACAG